rnacentral:piRNA from 1 species
AAGUGAUUGGUCAGUUAUGUGGACUGC